rnacentral:tRNA from 1 species
GAGGCUUUAUCUUAAUCAAAGUAUCUGAUUUGCAUUCAGAAGAUAUAGGUUAAUGUCCUAUAAGUCUUA